GAAAUGCAGGUGCAGCUGGACAUUCUCCUGAGCUAUAAGCAUAUUUAUUUAGUCCCGUCAAACGGAUUAUUACUUUUGCUGCAGCUAACAUAAAGGGAGUCUGACCGUAUUGGCUGACUGAUGCAGGAUUUCACAAGUGCUGGCAACAGCUUCUUGUAAAACUCGAUCUCAAAUCAAGUAAGACUACCCGCUGAACUUAA
rnacentral:misc_RNA from 1 species